rnacentral:rRNA from 2 species
UACGUAGGUGGCAAGCGUUGUCCGGAUUUAUUGGGUUUAAAGGGUGCGUAGGCGGCCUAUUAAGUCAGUGCUGAAAUAUCCCGGCUUAACCGGGAGGGUGGCAUUGAUACUGAUGGGCUUGAGUAGAGUCGAGGUGGGCGGAAUUGACGGUGUAGCGGUGAAAUGCUUAGAUAUCGUCAAGAACACCGAUAGUGUAGACAGUUCACUAGGCUCAAACUGACGCUGAGGCACGAAAGUGUGGGGAUCAAACAGG